GAUGAAGAACGCAGCGAAAUGCGAUAAGUAAUGUGAAUUGCAGAAUUCCGUGAAUCAUCGAAUCUUUGAACGCACAUUGCGCCCCCUGGUAUUCCGGGGGGCAUGCCUGUUCGAGCGUCAUUUCACCACUCAAGCCUCGCUUGGUAUUGGGCAACGCGGUCCGCCGCGUGCCUCAAAUCGACCGGCUGGGUCUUCUGUCCCCUAAGCGUUGUGGAAACUUUCGCUAAAGGGUGUUCGGGAGGCUACGCCGUAAAACAACCCCAUUUCUAAGGUUGACCUCGGAUCAGGUAGGGAUACCCGCUGAACUUAAGCAUAUCAAUAAGCGGAGGA
rnacentral:misc_RNA from 1 species